rnacentral:pre_miRNA from 1 species
CUGCUGGGGAUCCCCCACAGACCAGGAGGUAGGGGGAGCUGAUGUCCCCCUACCUCCUGGCCUGUGGGGGAUCCCCAGCAG